UCGAUAGUGCACGGGCUUUAUCUGCGCGCGUGAGGCUACAGCCGAUGCCAGAUUUUUGCUAGUGUAAGUACUGUUUGUUCCUCUUUUCCCUCCGAGGCUCUAUUCUGACUUGACUGCGCUACAGUGAAAACUAUACAACUGACCACUCCUUGUGGACUUCGGUUCGCUUGGGAAUCUUUGGACAUCACACACUUUCUGCUUUUUCAUCAUCUUCUGCGCUUUAGGCGGAGA
rnacentral:snRNA from 11 species